GGGCAAGUAGUCUAGUGGUUAUGAUUUCUGCUUUGCAUCUUAAAAGGAUAAUUGCAGAGGGUCCCGUGUUCAAAUCGCGGCUUGUCCA